rnacentral:rRNA from 1 species
UACAGAGGGUGCAAGCGUUAAUCGGAAUUACUGGGCGUAAAGCGUGCGUAGGUGGUUUGUUAAGUCAGGCGUGAAAUCCUGGGGCUCAACCUCAGAAUUGCGCUUGAUACUGACAGACUCGAGUGUGGUAGAGGAUAGUGGAAUUCCCGGUGUAGCGGUGAAAUGCGUAGAUAUCGGGAGGAACAUCAGUGGCGAAGGCGGCUAUCUGGACCAACACUGACACUGAGGUAAGAAAGCGUGGGUAGCAAACAGG